UGGGGAAUCUUGCACAAUGGGCGAAAGCCUGAUGCAGCGACGCCGCGUGAGUGAUGAAGCCCUUCGGGGUGUAAAGCUCUUUCGGCAGGGAAGAUAGUGACGGUACCUGCAGAAGCAGCUGCGGCUAACUACGUGCCAGCAGCCGCGGUAAUACGUAGGCAGCGAGCGUUGUUCGGAGUUACUGGGCGUAAAGGGUGUGUAGGCGGUCCUCUAAGUUUGGUGUGAAAUCUCCCGGCUUAACCGGGAGGGUGCGCCGAAUACUGAAUGACUUCGAGUGCGGGAGAGGAAAGUGGAAUUCCUGGUGUAGCGGUGAAAUGCGUAGAUAUCAGGAGGAACACCGGUGGUGUAGACGGCUUUCUGGACCGUAACUGACGCUGAGACACGAAAGCGUGGGUAGCAAACAGGAUUAGAUACCCUGGUAGUCCACGCCCUAAACGAUGCAUAUUUGGUGUGGGCAGUUCAUUCUGUCCGUGCCGGAGCUAACGCGUUAAAUAUGCCGCCUGGGGAGUACAGUCGCAAGGCUG
rnacentral:rRNA from 1 species